UAAGUCCACCCGGAUCGUUUAGAGGUAAAGAGUGGCAUAACAUCUGAAUCUUUCACGAUUUGUAAAUACGCAACUGCUUUCUAUAAAUGUCACUAUAUUAUUAUGUUUUCAGUUUUCACCUUGACAAUGAAAGAAUUAUCUGUGAAUCCCAGUUUUUAUACACAGUUCGCAGGCUAGGCAGAUUUUUAGUUUCCAUGCCUCCCAACUUUCUCUUGGACUCCACGUUGUCUCUUCCCCAUUUGAUUCUUUCCUAUCAUAUUUUUUUUAACUCCUAUUCUCCACUAUCAAGUAUCGUUGUUAAUGAUAUUCAAUUCCGCAGCUCGUUUAAGUAGUUUGAAAUAUUACUUAAAUAGGUGUAAUUACCAUUUUAAUUAAUUUUAUGUCCACCGAAGAUCAACAAUUGCACCUAAAACUAAUUUACAUGGUAUGUCUUCAUAUGAAUAUACUUCCAAGAUGUUGCAUUGGAGCUCUAUCCCACAUUGACUUCUUAGUAUUCAACAAUUAAUUGGUGUAAGUAUUAUACGCGAAUCCGAACCAUUUGUUUUUAUGACGACAUUGCAACUAGAGUGUGUUAGCUGGAAUGUACCAAAUUAUCAGUCUCAAACGUAGACUGAUAUCAGAGAUAUUUACAUGCCAGACGUAAUUUCUUCACGUAGUGUCAGCCAAAAAUACCUCCAUGAAGAUACAUAUUACCGAGUCUAAUGAAAGUAAUAAACAAGAGCGGUGGCCUGCUGUAGAAUAAUUUCCAUGUACUGUAUCAAAUUGAAAGAAGGAAAAAAAUAAUUCGUAGGAUUCAAUGAAAAAAAAAUUGGAAAAACUUGUUGAUGUUCAAUGGCACACGAUAUUAUAUGUUCACUGAACAUGUUAGGUCAUUCAUUCACUGAAAGAGUAUUAAAUAAUUUGAUCGGCAAACACUGGAAAAACUGCGUGAUUCGAUUUGGGUUUUGAUUUUUUGUAGAAAUAUAAUACAUACGUAUUAUGUAGGAUAGCAGCAACACCUUGUGAGGAUGUCAGACACGCGUAAUAAUUAUUAAUUUGCGUUUUCUCACCCAUUACUUACUGACGAACGACCCAACUUUGCAGUAGCUAUGUAUAGUUAUCGUAUAAAUACAGUAUAUUAUAUGUAUAUACUUUUACCAAACUUUGACAAAUCAACAAAGAACACCGUACUUACUACUCUCUGCUUUUUCUCGUAAUACAGUAAUAUUUAUACAUAUAUAUGUAUGUAUGUAAGAUAUACAUUAUGUUUAUGUACAUACGCACAUAGGUAUGUAUAAAUCUACACAUGUAUAUAAAAUCACUCGCAGUUACAGAGUUAGGAGGGGUUUGAUUCUGGUAGGUAAAUUCGUGAAAGAUUGUUCAUGAUUAUUUCGUGGUACCUAGGCUUUGCUGUGUGAAUAGAA